rnacentral:rRNA from 1 species
GAUGAACGCUGGCGGCGUGCCUAAUACAUGCAAGUCGAGCGAACAGACGAGGAGCUUGCUCCUCUGACGUUAGCGGCGGACGGGUGAGUAACACGUGGAUAACCUACCUAUAAGACUGGGAUAACUUCGGGAAACCGGAGCUAAUACCGGAUAAUAUAUUGAACCGCAUGGUUCAAUAGUGAAAGGCGGUUUUGCUGUCACUUAUAGAUGGAUCCGCGCCGCAUUAGCUAGUUGGUAAGGUAACGGCUUACCAAGGCAACGAUGCGUAGCCGACCUGAGAGGGUGAUCGGCCACACUGGAACUGAGACACGGUCCAGACUCCUACGGGAGGCAGCAGUAGGGAAUCUUCCGCAAUGGGCGAAAGCCUGACGGAGCAACGCCGCGUGAGUGAUGAAGGUCUUCGGAUCGUAAAACUCUGUUAUUAGGGAAGAACAAAUGUGUAAGUAACUAUGCACGUCUUGACGGUACCUAAUCAGAAAGCCACGGCUAACUACGUGC